rnacentral:lncRNA from 1 species
UGGGUAUCGAUAAGCGUGUAAUCGAUAUUUCAUAUUCGAUAGCCGAUGUUAAGGCGGUAAAUUCAAUUAAAUCAAAUCAAAAGACUAAAAGUGCAAUAAAUAUACGAAAAAUAGUAUUAAUCCAGCAGCAGCCACCAUCAACAACUACAACAGCAGCAACAGCAUUAAAUACAUUUAUUUUUUAAGUGCAAAUGGUGCAGUUGGAAAUGAUAGAUUUUACUGUGGGAGAAGCAGACGAGGAAACACACACACACACACAAUAUGCCUGCACUGCAUCCAGCACCCCACCAAGGGCUCUUCAUACCCUUCAUAACCCAUUGCCCGCAUUGCCCUUCUAUUCUACGUUGUUCUGGCGUUGUUGCUAUAGGGCUCAAAAGGCGAUGACGGCGGCGAUGUUACCGCUGGGAGCGGCGGCUCUCCCGUCAUCCCGACUCCAAGGCCGAUAUUUUUGGCUCCCUUUUUGUCUGCCGAAGACUUUUGCCUGCGUGUCCUGCGGGCGGGAACGCUCGACGUCGAGCUCGCGCCAACACUAGCUAGGCUAGCGUCGCUGGCAUCUGCCUCGGUGUCCAUGUCCAUGGUCCGAUAACCGAUAACCACUUUCAAAAACCGAUAUUCGAACAGCUGACUUAGCGGAGACACUAACCGAAACCCAGGUAAAAAACCAAGGUUCGAACAGCUGAGAAACACGUGGCUUCUGAGAGACACUUGGCUUUUGAGAAACACGUGACAAAUAUUAAUUUGCGAGUAAUUUCGUCUAUUCGGCAACUAAUUAAACAAGGGAAAACACAUUCUUUCGCACUGAAAACCCGACGGUAAGGCGGAACGCUUAAAAACACGUCUGCUUCCAGUAGCAGUCAGAGAGCAACGAGUAGAUAGGUACAUAUGUUUUCUGAUCUGUGUCUGCUGAUCUCUCAGCCUUUAUUUAACGUGGCGGUUCCUCAGGAAGGGAUUUCAACCACGGUGUUGAGUUUCCCAGGAUAAGAAGCUAUAGCAAAUACAUAGCGACUCUGCCCGGGACCAAUUCGAAAGUAUACUAGUCGGGCAUACUUUCCCCCUUGGUGAGGAGCGAAGGUGUAUCUAUCACCUCUUCCUAUCUAUGGGUCACGGCAACCGGUUGAGAAACGCAACUCCACGUCGAACGUAACGGCUCUGCCAGCGUAACAUUUGGGCUACCAAAGCCACCACGAUACUCCCACUAGGGGGCCGACCUCAAUGCACAGCCUUGGAACGCUGAUACAACCCGUGGUACGGAAGUUAGGGCUCAGUUGACCCUUCCUUUUAGCCCCGACUGGCUCGGAUAGGGUACCCUUGAAGGGGACUCCCCGAGUCCGGGGCUGUCAGCCCGCUUGUCGCCGAUGGAUCCAGCAGUUGUAGUCGUCUGGAGAACGCCUCUCCCGCGGAUCUAUCCAGAAGCUGCAUCCUCUCCUGUGAAGCCACCACUUCCGAGAAGGUCCACUCGCCAUCAGUAAGCUGCAUUCCUAAUCCAUCGAGGUCUCGCAAAUCCGCAUAAAGGGCACAAUACAUAAGACGUGCUGUCAAUCCUCGCGCUCUGCGCCGCAUAGACAUGCAGGCGUGUCGCUCCGGCUUAUCUUAUGCAGAAAUGAAUUGAGUGAUCCAUGACCAGUCAGUAGCCACGCUUUAGCUUAAAUCUGAUUGUCAGAUGUCUGGCGACCAGAUCAAGCUGGGGGGCUCCAGCAAGUACUUGCAGUGCUAUGGUGGACUCUGUACGGCAUACCUGGAGGCAUCCAAUCAGGAUGAUCCUUUGGCACGCAAGCCUCCUGGCAACUGUCUGC